GCAAACUUGGUCAUUUAGAGGAAGUAAAAGUCGUAACAAGGUUUCCGUAGGUGAACCUGCGGAAGGAUCAUUAUUGAUUUUUAAAGGAUGUUGCUGGCUCCUCGGGAGCAGGUGCACUCCUAACAAAAACCAAUAUCCACCUGUGCACCCUCGGUAGACAAGAAAAGGCCCCCUAACAAGAGCCCUUUUUUGUCUAUGUUUCUAUCACAAACGCUGUAUCUAUUUGAAUGAUAAUACAACAAAUAUUAUUUGUAAAACAACUUUCAACAAUGGAUCUCUUGGUUCUCGCAUCGAUGAAGAACGCAGC
rnacentral:misc_RNA from 1 species